rnacentral:rRNA from 1 species
UACGGAGGGUGCAAGCGUUGUCCGGAUUUAUUGGGUUUAAAGGGUGCGUAGGCGGCUUUGUAAGUCAGUGUUGAAAUAUGGCAGCUUAACUGUCAGACUGGCAUUGAUACUGCAGAGCUUGAGUACAGUUGAGGUAGGCGGAAUUUAUGGUGUAGCGGUGAAAUGCAUAGAUACCAUAAAGAACACCGAUUGCGAAGGCAGCUUGCUAAGCUGUAACUGACGCUGAGGCACGAAAGCGUGGGGAUCGAACAGGAUUAGAAACCCGGGUAGUCC